GGCUUCGUGACCGAGUGGUAAGGACACUGGAGUCCCGGGUUCGAUCCCCGGUCGAAGAGCUA
rnacentral:tRNA from 1 species